GAUGAACGCUGGCGGCGUGCCUAAUACAUGCAAGUCGAGCGAACGGACGAGAAGCUUGCUUCUCUGAUGUUAGCGGCGGACGGGUGAGUAACACGUGGAUAACCUACCUAUAAGACUGGGAGAACUUCGGGAAACCGGAGCUAAUACCGGAUCAUAUUUUGAACCGCAUGGUUCAAAAGUGAAAGACGGCCUUGCUGUCACUUAUAGAUGGAUCCGCGCUGCAUUAGCUAGUGGGUAAGGUAACGGCUUACCAAGGCUACGAUGCAUAGCCGACCUGAGAGGAGGAGAGCCCCCCCAGGAACUGAAACACGGUCCAGACUCCUACGGGAGGCAGCAGUAGGGAAUCUUCCGCAAUGGGCGAAAACCUGACGGAGCAACGCCGCGUGAGUGAUGAAGGUCUUCGGAUCGUAAAACUCUGUUAUUAGGGAAGAACAUAUGUGUAAGUAACUGUGCACAUCUUGACGGUACCUAAUCAGAAAGCCACGGCUAACUACGUG
rnacentral:rRNA from 1 species